rnacentral:lncRNA from 1 species
AGCUGUGCAGGAAGAGGUCGAGGAGCGAGUUGGGAGAAGCGAACGCUCCGUUCGUGAAGGUCAUGAUGACGGUGUUGUCCUCCAUGGCCGCUCGCCUCAGCAGCUCCGGAAGAUUGUCGUCGGGUGAGGUAGCAUCCUGCUAACCAAUUGCACAAUAAAAAAAAUAACGAAUUAAUAAGUUUUAUUAAGUAAGGGGCCAUACAUGUACUAACUCAGCCACGUACCAUGUCACCAGGCUUCGUCGUGCAGGGAUCCGCAUGAGCAGCUGUUCCGUUACCCAAGGCUACAAGCUCCUGACGAUCCGCCGGCGCGACGCCGACGAGGCUGCACGGGCGCGGAGGGGCAUGAUAAGCCGUUUCAUUACCGAAGGCUGCGAGCUCUGUCUCCGCCAGCGGGACGAGGCCGCACGGGCACGGAGCAGCCGGCUGGAGCAGCACGACGCAGGCCGCCGUGACGGCGGCUCCGAGGAAGAAGCCCAGGAGAUCUCUCU